AUGGCGACCAAGGUGGUGGACCUCCGCUCCGACACGGUGACCAAGCCCUCGGAGGCCAUGCGCGCCGCCAUGGCCGCGGCGGACGUGGAGGACGACAUCCUGGGCUCAGACCCCACCGCGCGCCGCUUCGAGGCGGAGAUGGCCCGGAUCAUGGGCAAGGAGGCCGCGCUGUUCGUGCCGUCCGGCACCAUGGCCAACCUCAUAUCCGUCCUCGUGCACUGCGACACCAGGGGCAGCGAGGCCAUCCUCGGCGACAACUCCCACAUCCACGUCUACGAGCACGGCGGCAUCUCCACCCUCGGCAGCGUCCACCCUAGGAUCGUCGCCAACAACCCCGACGGCACCAUGGACAUCGACAAGAUCGUUGCCGCCAUCAGGAGUCGGGAUGGGUCGUUGUACUAUCCCACCACCAGGCUCAUCUGCUUGGAGAACACACAGGGAAAUUGCGGAGGGAAGUGUCUGUCUGUAGAAUACACUGAUAAGGUUGGUGAAGUUGCCAAAACCCAUGGCCUGAAGCUUCAUAUCGACGGAGCUCGUAUUUUCAACGCUUCCGCAGCGCUUGGGGUUCCUGUUGAUAGACUUGUGAGAGCAGCUGAUUCGGUUUCGGUAGGCCUAGCGAAAGGGAUAGGUGCUCCUGUUGGAUCAGUUAUUGUUGGUUCCAAGGCCUUCAUACACAAGGCUACAAUUCUUAGGAAGACACUAGGUGGUGGAAUAAGGCAGGUAGGAAUACUUUGUGCUGCUGCUGAAGUUGCACGCGACACCGUAGGCAAGCUUGCGGAUGAUCAUAGGAAGGCUAAAGUCUUAGCAGAUGGACUGAAGAAAAUUGAACAGUUUACAGUUGAUUUAGCUUCAGUGGAGACCAAUUUGGUGUUCUUUGAUAUGGCGGAUGCACGAAUAUCACCUGCCAAACUGUGUCAAGUCCUGGAACAACGCAAUGUGCUUGCGACGCCAAUAGGCUCCAAGAGUGUCAGACUUGCGGUACACUACCAAAUUUCAGAUGGUGACGUCCAGUAUACUUUGGCAUGUAUCGAGGAAGCCGUGGAGGAAAUACUGACAGUCUGA
rnacentral:rRNA from 1 species